rnacentral:rRNA from 1 species
CAGUAGCCGCGGUAAUACGUAGGUCCCGAGCGUUGUCCGGAUUUAUUGGGCGUAAAGCGAGCGCAGGCGGUUUGAUAAGUCUGAAGUUAAAGGCUGUGGCUCAACCAUAGUUCGCUUUGGAAACUGUCAAACUUGAGUGCAGAAGGGGAGAGUGGAAUUCCAUGUGUAGCGGUGAAAUGCGUAGAUAUAUGGAGGAACACCGGUGGCGAAAGCGGCUCUCUGGUCUGUAACUGACGCUGAGGCUCGAAAGCGUGGGGAGCGAACAGGAUUAGAUACCCGCGUAGUCCCUGUCUCUUAUACC